CAGGUUCUUCACAAAUCUGGCGUCAAGCAGACUUUCUGUCUUAUUUUUUCUACUGCUGAAUUCUCAUCCCCAGGCAGUGCACAUCAACUUCCAACUCAGAAAUAAAGCCCUCAGAAGAGAUCAACAUAGAACCACACACUGCAGAGAUGCCUCCAGCCCCUGCACCAGACUGACUUACCUGGCGCAUACGUGAGGGGGCGGGUGAGGUCCCCUCCCUGCCCCCGCAAAGCUCUGACAGCCGAAAAGCUCUAGAACUUUCAAUCGCUGCCAUGCUCAUAGCUGCUUUCCACAGGCUCAGAUGAGCCUCACCCAUGAGUCAAUCUGCAGAAACACCCAGUAACUUGGCAGUCAUGCCCAACAACUUCCUCUAGCAGCAUGAACUCAUUAACGACCAUGAUCCCAAGACUCAGAAAUAAAGCCCUCGGGGAAGAGCAACAUAGAACAACAUGCCGCAGAGAUGCCUCCAAACCCUGUGCCAAGCUGUUCUUAUUUGGGACAAACCAGAUGGGUCCAGUGAGUUCCCCCUCCUUGUACAAGCAGAGCCCUGGCAGCCCAAAACCUCCAGAACUCAAUCUCCAACAUACUUAUGGCUGGUCACCUCAGGCUCGGAUGAGCCUCACCCAUGAGUGAAUCUGUUGUAUAGUCAUAUGUUAAAUUUUAGAAUUGGCAAUGGGACAGGUCAUACUUUACUCCACUAAUGUACCAAAAGUAGAACACCACAUUUGAUGGGGUUUAAAGUAGAAAGUAACCAAUACUCAUGCACACACACAUGUAUUAGCACACAAGCUCAAGGUUAAACAACAUGUUAGUAAUCUCUGAAGGGCUUAAUGGCUUCAGAGUGAAAUACAAAAAUUUUCACACACUUUUCUCUAAGGAAACUUUUUUUUUGAAGUAAAUAGAUUUUAUUCAGAGGUUUCUGAGGGAAGGAGGAAGGGAUGAGUGGGAGAGAGAAUAGUGAAAAUAAUGCGCUCAAGAGAGAACUCGGGCUUCUCCAAGGGUGGAGGAAGCCCCUACACAUAACCGAGCUUUAGACACAAAAGUAUGAAAGUACACAUCUCAAGAGGGGAGAUGCGGGCGACACAUGUGCUCAGCCACGCAGGCGCAAGCAGCACAUGGGCUCAGGCAGCAUAUAUAUGUGCUCUAAGGAAACUUUUUGAUCCAUUUUGUGGAUCAUUCAUAACAAGCAAUACAAAAUAAAUUAUUUCAAUUCUGCUUUGGGGGCAGGGUUUGGGGUUCAAGGUGGAAAUGUUCAAAACAUUUGAGGUGGUGUAAAGUGUAAUGGUGGCGGGAUUGGUGUUUGAAAAUUAAAUGUAAUAAAUUAUCGUAAACAACUUCAUAAAACUAAAAUUAAGUUAAAAAAUUGAAAUGUUUUCUCCUUAGAAAAAUACAAAAAUCAAAGCAAAUUGAAUUAAAAUAUACUUAUUAAUUGAAAUAUGAAAUAAUAUAGUGUUUGUAAUUAUCAAAAUUAAACAACGCCUGGUUAUUUGAGACAAAUCUAUAUGGAAUAGAUUUGGAGAAAUAACCAUGUCAGAACUACACAGUAUACCUUAUCAGGAACUAGAAAAUAGCUGUAUAUUAUGAUUCCAGAAAAAUUACAAAGAGAUUAUGAACAGCUUUAAAUCAGUUAAUCUUAUGUUGUAUGAAAUAGACAAACCUAUCCAUGGAGCAGUGCUUGUCUUCAGGUAUAAAAAGGUUGAAGAACAUUGAACUUGAUUAUUAGAAUUUACAUAUAUACAUUUUUAAAAAUUUCAAAUCUAUACAUUUUUUAAAAAUUCAAAAUAAAAAUUUUUCUCAAAUCUGUAUAUCUGAUUGUAUAUUAUCUAGACAUAAUUUCAAUGUUCCUAGAAAUUUCUAGAAUAUUAAAUGCAAAGUAAAAAUUUCCAUAUGGUAUGAAGUCAGUAUUGUUAUAAUUGCAAAAGAAGAUAAAAGAUAACAGACCUAUGUUUCCUAUGAACAUCUGUGUGAAAUUUAUAAAUAAGAAAGUACACCGAAAAAGCAUCCUGUUGCUCAUCAAUUUGCUCAAGCGGGCACCAGUAAUGUCUCUCAUUGUGAGACUUAUUGUUACUGUUUUUGGCAUAUCAAAUACGCCACCGGUAGUUUGCCAGGCUCUGAGGUGCAGGCGCGAUAUUCUCUGAGAGGGGGGGAGCAAUUUAACUCGGGUCGGCCGCGUGAAAGGCAAUGCUCUACCGCUGUGCUAUUGCUCCAGCCAUUUAUCUUACUUUAUAAACAAAAUGUUAGCAAUAUAUAGCUUGACUGAAUGUAUCAAUUUAUGCAUAUGAUAAAAUUUAAUAUGUUCUUGUAUAUGAA